rfam:Vibrio splendidus LGP32 chromosome 1
AUUCCAGAGGUGAUGUGGCUAGCCAUAUCACUCCGGCAGCAAGCGAAGGUGUCAUUGGCACCCGUGGUAUAGUCCCCCCGGCUAUACCACGAUAUUUUUUU